GUCAGCGGCGGACGGGUGAGUAACACGUGGGUAACCUGCCUGUAAGACUGGGAUAACUCCGGGAAACCGGGGCUAAUACCGGAUGCUUGAUUGAACCGCAUGGUUCAAUUAUAAAAGGUGGCUUUUACCUACCACUUACAGAUGGACCCGCGGCGCAUUACCUAGUUGGUGAGGUAACGGCUCACCAAGGCAACGAUGCGUAGCCGACCUGAGAGGGUGAUCGGCCACACUGGGACUGAGACACGGCCCAGACUCCUACGGGAGGCAGCAGUAGGGAAUCUUCCGCAAUGGACGAAAGUCUGACGGAGCAACGCCGCGUGAGUGAUGAAGGUUUUCGGAUCGUAAAACUCUGUUGUUAGGGAAGAACAAGUACCGUUCGAAUAGGGCGGUACCUUGACGGUACCUAACCAGAAAGCCACGGCUAACUACGUGCCAGCAGCCGCGGUAAUACGUAGGUGGCAAGCGUUGUCCGGAAUUAUUGGGCGUAAAGCGCGCGCAGGCGGUUUCUUAAGUCUGAUGUGAAAGCCCCCGGCUCAACCGGGGAGGGUCAUUGGAAACUGGGGAACUUGAGUGCAGAAGAGGAGAGUGGAAUUCCACGUGUAGCGGUGAAAUGCGUAGAGAUGUGGAGGAACACCAGUGGCGAAGGCGACUCUCUGGUCUGUAACUGACGCUGAGGCGCGAAAGCGUGGGGAGCGAACAGGAUUAGAUACCCUGGUAGUCCACGCCGUAAACGAUGAGUGCUAAGUGUUAGAGGGUUUCCGCCCUUUAGUGCUGCAGCAAACGCAUUAAGCACUCCGCCUGGGGAGUACGGUCGCAAGACUGAAACUCAAAGGAAUUGACGGGGGCCCGCACAAGCGGUGGAGCAUGUGGUUUAAUUCGAAGCAACGCGAAGAACCUUACCAGGUCUUGACAUCCUCUGACAACCCUAGAGAUAGGGCUUCCCCUUCGGGGGCAGAGUGACAGGUGGUGCAUGGUUGUCGUCAGCUCGUGUCGUGAGAUGUUGGGUUAAGUCCCGCAACGAGCGCAACCCUUGAUCUUAGUUGCCAGCAUUCAGUUGGGCACUCUAAGGUGACUGCCGGUGACAAACCGGAGGAAGGUGGGGAUGACGUCAAAUCAUCAUGCCCCUUAUGACCUGGGCUACACACGUGCUACAAUGGACAGAACAAAGGGCAGCGAAGCCGCGAGGCUAAGCCAAUCCCACAAAUCUGUUCUCAGUUCGGAUCGCAGUCUGCAACUCGACUGCGU
rnacentral:rRNA from 1 species